GUGGGGAAUAUUGGACAAUGGGCGCAAGCCUGAUCCAGCAAUGCCGCGUGGGUGAAGAAGGCCUUUUGGUUGUAAAGCACUUUAAGCGAGGAGGAGGCUACCGAGAUUAAUACUCUUGGAUAGUGGACGUUACUCGCAGAAUAAGCACCGGCUAACUCUGUGCCAGCAGCCGCGGUAAUACAGAGGGUGCAAGCGUUAAUCGGAUUUACUGGGCGUAAAGCGCGCGUAGGUGGCCAAUUAAGUCAAAUGUGAAAUCCCCGAGCUUAACUUGGGAAUUGCAUUCGAUACUGGUUGGCUAGAGUAUGGGAGAGGAUGGUAGAAUUCCAGGUGUAGCGGUGAAAUGCGUAGAGAUCUGGAGGAAUACCGAUGGCGAAGGCAGCCAUCUGGCCUAAUACUGACACUGAGGUGCGAAAGCAUGGGGAGCAAACAGGAUUAGAAACCCGUGUAGUCC
rnacentral:rRNA from 1 species